rnacentral:tRNA from 2 species
UCCCGAGUAGCUCAGCCGGUUAGAGCAUCUGACUGUUAAUCAGAGGGUCGCCCGUUCGAGUCGGGCCUCGGGAGCCA